rnacentral:lncRNA from 1 species
GCCAUUUACUUCAAUGGGGGCUUUACCAAGUCCUUACAAUGGACAUAGUCAUUUAUCUGCAGGCAUUGAUGCAGUUGCCUUUGCCUUGGCAGCCAUGCUCCUCACGGAUACCUGGAAAAUAAGGGGUUCGUGCUUCUGUGGGGCAGACACAGUGUCAUCAUCCCUUGAGUAAACGGAGUGCAGAGCUGCCAAGGUCAAGGAUGGACAUGAUGAACAGAACUGUAACCACUGACUCAACACCUGCUCUGGAAGAUAGAGGGAUGCUGCCUGAGCCCUCAGGGUGUUUCUGGAAUAGUAGAUCAUGGUGAAGUCUCAAGAUGAGGAACAGGACACGAUGUUAACACUCAGCCAGCAAGUUUGGGAACUGUUUGGCCUUUCAGCUGUGCUUUGGGCACAAAUCCUUUGGACAGACCUGACAUCAGCCCCGUCAUCAUCCUUCCAUCCGAGCGACCAGCACCUUGCUGCCUUGGAA